rnacentral:rRNA from 1 species
AACGAACGCUGGCGGCAUGCCUAACACAUGCAAGUCGAACGAGACCUUCGGGUCUAGUGGCGCACGGGUGCGUAACGCGUGGGAACCUGCCCUUAGGUUCGGAAUAACUCCCCGAAAGGGGUGCUAAUACCGGAUAAUGUCUUCGGACCAAAGAUUUAUCGCCUUUGGAUGGGCCCGCGUUGGAUUAGCUAGUUGGUAGGGUAAAAGCCUACCAAGGCGACGAUCCAUAGCUGGUCUGAGAGGAUGAUCAGCCACACUGGGACUGAGACACGGCCCAGACUCCUAGGGAAGGAAGCAGUGGGAAUAUUGGACAAUGGGCGAAAGCCUGAUCCAGCAAUGCCGCGUGAGUGAUGAAGGCCUUAGGGUUGUAAAGCUCUUUUACCCGGGAUGAUAAUGACAGUACCGGGAGAAUAAGCUCCGGCUAACUCCGUG